rnacentral:rRNA from 1 species
UGCCCGAGGAGAGAGCGUAUAGGGGUGUCCGCGGAGGUCGGGGGGCAUGCUUUUGGCCUCCGCUUUUGGGAGUUUGGGAUUAGGGGUACCGCCUGAGGCUGCGUAGCCGCGGCGGCGGUCUCCAUCGCUGGCUCUACUUCUAAGGUCAGCAUCUGGAGUGGCUGCGGCACGUCCUUCUGCGACGUAGACUGGGACGCCGCCGGCGGGGGUGCGUCCUUCUCCGCGGUAGUCUCCAACGGCUGCGGCUUCCGCUGGUGUUCUCCUUCGAGCUCCUCCAGCUGCGCCCGCGCCUCCGGUUGCCGCGGCCCCUCCUGCGGUUCGCUGGCGCGCACCUUCCGUUGCCGCGUCUACGGCACGUUUUGUCACUCAGGAGGCUCUUCGGGCUCCUCGGUCAGCGACACUAAUGACUCCCCCGCCGUCUACGGCUCCAACGAGGAUGGCCGCUAGACGUCUGUUCAAGACUCCAGUUCGGUGUCCUCUGACGUUGAGUUCGUGACGGUGUUGUCGUUCUUCCACUACGUUGGCCACGGGACGUCCUCUGAUGGGCGGAUUAACUACACGGGUUAUGAUUCCAGCCACAAGAUUAACCUUUUCGUCCACUUUGCUAGUCUUUGGACGUUUACUCGAGCCCGCGUUUCUAGGUUUAGUGUUUCCUACGUCUACAGGGAAGUCUACGGUGCUGAGCAGGUCAGCUUAACCAACCUUGAUUGCUCUCAUAACUGUUCCGACUCGUCGAAUAAUUCUCACAAUAUCGGCUCCGACUCCGACCGCCAAGGGGACGGAACUAUCGGUUUCCAAAGCCCAGACCAGUCAGUCCAAGUCUCGUCAAACUCUACGAUCAGGGACUAUUAUUCCAACCAAAUUAAUAACCUUUUCCUCCACUCUGUUAAUUUUUGGACGUUUGGGCUAGACCACGAGCUUAGGUCAAUUAAGGAGUUGUAGGAGGCCGCCCAUGAUGUGACUGACUUUCCUGACAUGCACAAUGACCGUUAUUCUUCGUCUAUCUUCGACGUUUUCUCAACUAAUUCGUUCGAUACUCAGUCCACUACACUGGGACGAAACACGAAAAAACAAGGUAAUAAAGACACUACUUCGAUUACGAAGUAAGACAGAUAACAGGUAUACAUGUAAACACGACACUAAUGGACGUACUACGAAUACGGGGACACUAUUUGCAUCACUAUAACUUAUAUCACAACAGCGUUUUUUUUAGUUCAAACACAUAAUACGAUGAACCAUGCUUUAGUAUCGUACAUGCUAACGGACAGAAAAAAGUAAAGAUGGAACACACUAACCAUGUUGACGAAAAUCGAUACAGUGUUAAAACCAUCAAUUCAUAUACAAUAAGUACCACGAUACGAUUACGACGAUUAUUUACAUUACGUGAAUUAGUAGAAUUGAAAAGUUUGAAAAAACAGUUAAUACAAGUUUACGGAGCAGAUACUUAUUCUGACCUCUACAUAACGGACUUUCCUCAAAGGGUAAUCAACAAAAAACCUCAUUUUGGAAAAUAGAAGACUAUUAUCCUUGACUUUUAACAGGAUCAGCUACGGUAAAAACAUUGAACGCAACUACGAGGGUAAAAUUGUAUAUAUCUUGUCAACACCGACAAGGUAAGGUCGAAACGUAGAACAUUUAAACUUGUGACAAGUACACAUAUACUCGUGUGAAAUCGCGUUCACGUUAGGACUAAUUUAUCGUUAGGCUUUUAUCAGUGAAAUAGCACGAACCCCACAACAUAUAACGGGGAACGGGUAAAUACCUUAGACUUCAUACUGAUCUGAUUAGACACAGAAGAUGUUACCCGGAUAUACUGUAAGAACUAUAUAUCUUCACGGAUCGACCUGACCUUCCAUUCAAGAGGCAAACGGGAUGAAAGGAACUAGCUAGUUAGUCAGUCACUGUACGUCAGCCGAACUAACCCAACAUCAUCAAAGUGGGUGUAUUGAAACAACACCCAAUAAACAAUGACAAUCUCAAGAUAAGAGGUGGUUUAAAACGGGACUUUAUAAAUCAUGAGGGAGACAGGGUAUUAUAUUCUUGCAAAAAGUUCGAUUGUAUCGAAGUUUUUGCAAGAAUAUAAUACCCUGCCUCCCUCAUACAUAAAACGGGACUUUAUAAAUCAUACGGUGGAAAACAAGACGUACAGUGAUAUUUUAAACUCACAACGGACGUUGGACGGGUAGUACAAUAACACGAAACCACGUCAUAGUCGUGCUUUGUAUUGCACGCCGUAGCUAAUAAAUCUUUAUUUUAAUCCUUGUUUACCAAGUGGUGGUCAAGUAUAACUUACUAAACAUAAAACCUGGAUCCUUUCGACCUAUGUCAAUGUUUUUGUUAUUAUCUUCUCAAGUACCAAGAUCACAUUGACCGAACGGGAUACAAAAAUGGACUAGGGACCGAGACCGAAAUGUGUACCAAACCAGUUAAUCGGAGAACGAUUGAGAUCUAUUUUAGACUAUGACAAAGGAUGUAGCCUUCAGCAUCGACUGUGUAGUCCAAUAGAGGGAAGGUCAAAGGCACUUAAUAGAAAACAACUUCCACGGUUAACCUCAACCGACCCAUAUGGUUACGUCUAAGUCGAUCCGGAAGGACUACCCCAGUAGAGGAAGUAGGCAACGUAGUGUCGUCUCCCUAUAACUAGCAACAGGGAACCUGGAACAUACCAAAAACAUCAACCCCAUUGACCAUUCCGACGAAUACCGACUUACCCUUUCUUUUUGGUUAAGACGUAACCUUCUGACGUGGUUAACAUAGUAACGGUACUGUUCCUAUGACGUAGUGGUACAGAUCUGUAAAGGUUCUUUGUGUUGAGUCAGACCACCGAUACCAGGCGUUGUAGUAGUGGGAGUCCCAGUACCGGGUCGAAGAGUCACCCCCGGUGCAAGAGUUGGAGUCGUCAUACCUAUAGGUGGUUCUCCCGGAGGAGUCUUGCGCGGUAUGAGAGUUGGGGGAAUACCACCAAUGGGUGUCGUCGGCGGUGGAUCUCCACCGUACCCGACCCUGGUCUCCGUCCCGGGAGGCGGAGUGGUCCCACCACCAAUACUGAUGAUGUUUGUCCCUAGAGUUGGCAUACUUUCGGUCGGUGGUUUGAUGGGGGGACCUGAUCCAUUGAUGUUGUCGAUACCGGGUAGUGUUCGAGGUUCGAUACCUGUCGGAGUCAUAGGUGUCAGACGCGGAGGUGUCUUGAUACCGGGACCUAUACCACUAGGAUCCAUGUCACGAGGUCGAGGUCGGGUCGUCAUGAUACCCGUCGGUGGUCGGCCAGGCGUCGUUCCAAUGGGAGUUGUCGGUCUAGGAAUACGAUCUGGAGGUAUACCACCUGGACCUGUUACCGGUGGGUCUCCGUCACGUGGACGUCUACCACGAAUGGUCCGUGGUGGGGGACGUAGAAUACGAGGCGGUCGGGUCGUUGGAGGACGAAUACCAGUUUGUAUGGGUUGACCUGGACUACCCAUACGAGUCGUCCCAAUGAGUGUCGUCCCACCCGUUCCCGGUCGUCGUAUACCAGUCUCACGAGGCCGUCCUGGUCCCAUGUCAGUCGUCCCGCCGAUACGCGUCAUAGGACGCAGCGUCGGUCGUAUGCCACUAGUCAGUCGAGUUUUGUUGCGUUUGAUACCGAUAGUCCCUCGGGGUCGACUAGGGUCGAUACCUUUACGGAUGGGUGUCAGUCCUAUACGACGACGUGGCUGUUGACCAGUCGGACCUAUACCAGUCCGUCCUAUGUGGGUCGGUGGUCGAUGUUUGGGUGGUUCAAUACUAGUCAGACGCGGUGGCCGUCGAGUUUCACCGAUACGACGUGGACGACGUUUGGGUGUCGGACGCCAACGUUUCCCGCACAGCGGAGUCGGACGAUGACGACGACCUAUGCCGCCCGUCACCUGACGUACUGAAGACAAGACUUCGGGGCGACUUUCGUUCUAUAUAAACUCUCGAUAUACAAAACAGCGGACGACAAAAUUUAGAAACCCUACUCCGAACGGCAGAUUUUCAAAUAUGAGAGACAUCAUGAUCAUCUAACAAUACAAUUGAAACUUGAAAACUCAACUUUUCUCUUGGACCAAUCGAAUAACGGACACUCUCAUUAAAGACGUACAGAACGAACAAAAACAACGCGAAAUCGAUACAAGUAAGAAGACGAACGGCUUCGUUAAAACUGGUUACACGACACGACUACAAGAAACUCUUACACAGGACUGGUAACAUUCGGGGUUCGGGUAAGACCUUUAGAUUGUUGAAUGACAGUUU